UAUACGGAAUGAGCUGCCAGAGGAAGUGGUUGACGCAAUAGUAUCAUCCAAGAUGUGUUUGUUCAGCUACAUGAAGCAGCAGGGUGUGGAGGCAAUCAGAAUCAGGUUUAUUAUCACCGGCAUAUCUCGUGAAAUUUGUUAACUUAGCAGCAGCAAUUCAAUGCAAUACCUAAUGUAGAAGAAGAGGGAAAAAAAAUAAAAAUACUUGCCAUCUGCAGGUGGAGCUCCUUUCACAGUGCACGCCAGAGUGCGACACCCCCUCUGAAGUGGAAACCUGGGUAAAGUCACACACCUCAUCACAAGCAAUGCGAAUACCCUUGUGAAAGAGAUGAGCCAUCUUCAGCUGACCUGCUGAUCUGAUUGAUGGUGACAGAGGCGGUGAUUAAACCUGCAUCAAAGAAGUGACAAGAACUGGUUGUGGGGAAGAAGAUGUGAAAGAUGGAUUAAUGUGGACACUGAUGUGUUGUUGUUGCAUGUUUAUGGAAAAUUAUAAUGGUGAUAUUCUUUUGAGAUUUGGGAAACCUGCGCUGCUCAGGUUAUCGAAGUGAAUAUUCUAAAGAUAAAAUCACACAGAAACCCCUUUAUUGGGAAGUAUUCAAUGAGUGCUUUGAGCAUCAGAGUGAGGAGAGCCUUUUCUAGCAUCGGUAAGCUACUGGAUUGAUUGGAGGAGUAAUGGUCUGUUCCAAAGAAGUGUCUUGGGAGGAGUCCUGGUCUCAAAGCUGAUGUCUGUAGGAAGGAUCUGAGUUAAAAAUGUUUGCUAAGCUUGCUUUCUAAACAUAAGCAGCUGCCACUUGAGAGACCACAAACGGAUGUAAGUAAACUUCUGGCUAAUGUAUGUACUUUGUUUAAUUUCUGGUCAUAAAUGCCUUCAGUUCUUAAAAUGCAAGUGGCAAGCAGUAAUCAGUUCGAAGUUAAAGCAAGUAUUGUCUAUAAGCUUUGCAAACAAGUUCUGUAUUUUGCUGAUGCUCUCUCUCACUACUCCCACUUAAUUAUUGCUCAAAAGUAGAGUAUAAGGCAAUGUAUUUGGGUUGUUUCAACACAGAAAACCUGACUCUUACAUUGCUUAAUUCAAGGAAGUUUGCAGAACAGAUGGAUAAUAUAAUUUAGUGUAUCAAUAAUUGAUGUGUUUUUAGUUGGAAAGGUUUUAUCUAUUCAGAGAAGUUAGCUUCACAGCAUUUAAAACAUUAAUAGUGGAUAACUCAGUAUUAUGUCUCCAAAAAUGCUUUUAUACUAUUUGUGUUAGAAGGAGAUCUGAGGAAAUACAUAUGCUUGAGAAGUCAGUCAAGUGAGGGAAAAAAGGUAUAAAUCUAGACCGCUGUUCAGGCUUAUCAGGAAUGUUAGGAACAUCAAGAGGAAACAUUAAAGAAACACAGAUAAACUAGAAUCCACUCCUCCACCUUUGCUUUCUGUGACAGAUGACAUUUUGUCUGCAAUUUGUUGAUAUGCGUUUUUAGUUUAUAGAAUUGUAUCUAUAAAAUCCUUUAUCCUUGAUGCUUUGUGCUUUGUGCUUUGGCAAUGUUUCAUGUUUUAGAGAUGAUUUGUAAUUUGGAAAUGUUUAAGAUAGAUCUCCUCUGGGUUUUAAGUGUAUUUUAAGAGUGUUGCUUGAACUUCAAUAUGUAACAGUAAAAUAGCUGAACUGUAUUUAAACUACGUUGUUAGCUGAAGUAUCUUCUCCAUGGUAGGGUGAGGGGCCCCACUCCUUGAAUAGUGGGUAUUGGGAGAAAAACAGGGAAAUGAGCUAGCUUUUGAAGAUUGAGUAGUUACAAUGUAGUCUCCCUUGGGUGAGGGUAUUCAUGGCUAUCUAUAUCAGAUAGUGCUUAAGGUCUUUGUUUAAGUGUAGAGCCUCAUGAUCAGCAAUCCCAAUGCAUCACAGUUUAUUCAGGAUGAUGCAGUCAGUCAUCAAUUGCCAUUGUCCAUCAGGCUUUGCUGUGCUGAAUGUUGGUAAGUUAAAUUAAGAAGGUUCUUUUAUCAAAACACCUUGUUUUUAAAGCAAAUCUACAGUUUCCUGUAAGGAUUUCUUUCCUCUAUAGUUAGGAAUAUGCUGCUGUUUCUGGCAUGGAACAGGAUUCAACACUAAUUCAGUCGGUUCAAUAUCAACCAUACCACAGUGGUUAAGAUGUUUUUGUAGGUAGUAGUCAUAAUAUUUGUACAAAAUAUGUUACAGUUUCGCUCUGAUUGUUUUAUCCUGAUGAUAGUCUUGUUUCAGAAUAUUUAUGUCUUGUUCAUCCGGUGCAGUUGUAUUGGCUGUUGGUUUGAUUAUAGUACAAAUCCAACAGUAAGCAUCCGGUGUUCCUAUUAGAAGUGCUAGUUUAUGACACUCUGGGGCAAGCUGGUGUUAAAACUUAUACUAAAACUGCUAUUGUUUGUUUCAUCCAAUAUAUCCAUAUGGGAACUUUAUAAACUGGGCACUGUACCUUAUGUCCAUGUUUGUAAUUCCAUGUAAUUUUAAUUUUCCCUGUUGGCUCCUCCAGUUUAUUGCUUUGAAUAAUAUCAGAUUUUAGCAUUAUAAACUGUGUGCACCUGUACCAAAUGGCAGGGUUGUACAGUGGAGUUUGGUCUGUAUAAUCUGCAUCCUGCUCCAUGUUCUGUCUCUUUAUUAUUCUAGGUCUCCAACUCAAAGAAUAAAAUAUUCAUCAUGCUCAAUCUGAGGAACAAUGAGGGUACUAUCCCUUAUUUCUGCUAUACUAUUAACACAUCUGUGAUAUUUACCUGCAUAACUGCUGGAAACCAGGAUGUCGGCCAUUUUAUGCUAUUUGGUGGAGUGCAUAGCAUUUGUCGAGUGCGCUCUGAGUGGGAUUACUGCUAAAUAAUAACUCUUUCAGAAAUAAUACUUUUGGUAUAAUGUGACCACGUCAGGUGCCAACUGUGAUAUACAGUAUUGGGAUAGCUGACUGCAAAGUUCUAAACCCAAACAAAGACCUUAAACCCUAUCUGAUAUAGAUAGCUAAGGGUACACUCACUAAAAGGAGGCUAUACUGUAACUAUCUAAUCUUCAAAGACUAAUUCACUUCCAAGUUUAUCCUCCACAGGCGUGCUCAGCUGGCAAUACCCAUUAUUUGAGGAAAGAGGAGAUACUUCCAGCUAACAAAGCAGUUUAAACACCGUUCAUUUAUUUUCACUGAUAUACAUUUAAAUUCUAACAGCAUUCUUAAAUCACAAGUUAAAGCUCACAGAGGAUUUCUAUCUUAUAAAAGGUUUCCAAAUUACAAAGGAUUUCCAAAGCAUAGGUACAAUUCCUAUAAGCUAACAAGGCACACCAAUGAGCCACAGAUGAACCAGUCGUUCAUUGCAGCAAUCAAUGGCAGACAAAUUGUUUCAAUUUCAUUCUACCUUUCUGUCAUUCUGCAUGAUCUUCCUUAGUCAUUCCUAAAACGCCCAAAUGCUGUCUUGAUUUAUACUGUUUCUCUGCCACAUGGAUGACUUCACAUGUGAUAUUUUUUUCCAGAUACCUUCGAACAACAAAUGGUCUAAAAGACAGAGAUCCCAGGUCCCCACAAUACAUGUUGUGAAGCUGACUAUUAACAAGACAGCUACCGUAUGUUUAUGCUAAGUCAUAAGAUCAGUCUGGUCUGCAAGCUUCUUUGUUCUAAGUAACGUAACCAGCAUUGGUUAGUUUGAAACAAGCCAAAUUAAAUAACCCAUUGUUUUACACUGCUUCUCAUGAGCAAUAAGCCCAGGGGCUGUGGGGCCAGAAAGUAUGUGGCCCCACUAUAUAGACAGUGCAUCUUUUUACAAAGCUGCCUUUUUAAUUUUAAACUGAUUGCAGCUUGCCCUUUACACAUUGAGAACCGAAGCCUGGCUCUGCUUAUGACAAGAAGCUAAACUAAGGCUAUUACAAGCACAAGAAAAUCUGCAGAUGCUGGAAAUUCAAAGCAACACACGCAAAAUGCUGGAGGAACUCAGCAGGCCGGGCAGCAUCUAUGGAAAUGAAUAAACAGUCAACGUUUCAGGCUGAUGCCCUUCAUCAGGACUGGAAAGGAAGGAGGAAGAAGGCAGACUAAGAAGGUCAGGGGAGGGGUGGAAGAACAAGGUGGCAGGUGAUAGAUGAAACCGGGAGAGGGGGAGGGGGUGAAGUAAAGAGUUGGGAAGUUGAUUGGUGAAAGAGAUGAAGGGCUGGAGAAGGGGGAAUCUGAUAAGAGAGGACAGAAGACCAUGGAAGAAAGGGAAGGGGGAGGAGAACCAGAAGGAGGUGAUGGGCAGGUAAGGAGAUAAGGAGAGAGAGAGAGAGAGGGAAACAGGAAUGGGGAAUGGCGAAGGAGAAGGUGGGGGCAAACAAGGUAGCCUCCAACCUAACGGUAUGAACACCAAUUUCUUGAACUUCUGGUAAUUGCACCCCCCCCCCCUUCACUAUUCCCCAUUCUUGUUUCACUCCCUCAUCUUGUCCAUCACAACAUAUACUGAGAUACAAUGACAAGCUUUAUUUGCAUGGCUUCCAAACAAACUGUUCCAUACAUAAGUACAUUAGGUUGGUAAAAAUAAAACAGAAUACAUAAUAUGGUAUUGCACUACAGAGAAAGUUUAAAAAAAUGCAAGAGCCACAAUGGGGUAAAUUGGAAGAGCAAGAGUUCAUCUUUAACACACAAGUGGUCUGCUCAGGUGUUUGAUAACAGCAGGGUAGAAGCUGUCUUUGACUCUAGUAGUAUGUACUAUCACGCUUUUGUAUCUUCUACCCAACAGGGGAGGGGAGAAGCAAGAAUGACCUGUGCAGGAAGGGUCUUUAUUGUGUUAGCCUCUUUACCAAGGCAGUGGGAAGUAUGGACAGCGUCAAUGAAGGGGAGGCCACGUUUUUUGAUGGACUGAACUGCAUUCACAAAUCUUUGAAAUUUCUUGUGGAAAUGCUGCCACUUAACUAAAAUCUUCAGCUACUCGAUUAUUGAUGAAUCUUCACAUCAUCAUUGUCAGUAUGCGCCGUGUCUUUAUUCUUUGGAGCGUGGAAGGUUGAGGGGGACUUGAUAGAGGUAUUUAAAAUAAUGAGGAGGAUAGAUCGAGUUGACAUGGAUAGGCUUUUUCCAUUGAGAGUAGGGGAGAUUCAAACAAGAGGAUAUGAUUUGAGAGUUAGAGGGCAAAAGUUUAAGGGUUACACGAGAGGGAAUUUCUUUACUCAGAGAGUGGUAGCUGUGUGGAAUGAGCUUCCAGUAGAAGUGGUAGAGGCAGGUUUGGUAUUAUCAUUUAAAGUAAAAUUGGAUAGGUAUAUGGUCAGGAAAGGAAUGGAGGGUUAUAGGCUGAGUGCGGGCCAGUGGGACUAGGUGAGUGUAAGCGUUGGCACUGUCUAGAAGGGCCAAGAUGGCCUGUUUCUGUGCUGCAAUUGUUAUAUGGUUAUAUGGUGCCAUAUGAUGUGGUCAAUCAAGGCCUUUGACUGUGAUUAUUCUUGACAAAUUCUUCUACAGAAAUGGUUUGCCAUUGACUUCUUCUGGGCAGUGUCUUCACAAGAUGGGUGAACCCAACCAUUUUCAAUAUUCUUCCAGGCAUCCAUGGUCACACAAUCAGGACUUGUGAUGUGCACCAGCUGCUCAUAAGGUCAUCCACCACAUGCUACCGUAGCUUUAUGUGGCCUUGAUUGGGGGGGCUAAGCAAAAGCUAUGCCUUGCACAAGGGUGACCUGCAGGCUAGUGGAAGAAAAGAGCCUCGUUUGCUAGAGACAUAUCCCCACCCCACCAGCCACACUUCACAACAGCACGCAUUAGGAAAACAAUAUAUUAAUCUUGCUUUCUACUACUUAAAACAAAUGAGGUUUUUGUUCUCUACCUCCUGUCAACAGAUGAAUUAAUAAGAGAGUAAUGCAUUGUUUUUCUAAAGCAUUUUUCAUAACCUCAAUGGUCUGAUAUCACUUUGCAGCCAAUGAAGCAUUUUUGCCAUGCGAAUACUGUUGAAACGCAGGAAACAUGGUUGCUAUUUGCACAGAUCAAGCUCUGACAAGAAAAACUGGCCUGAUAAUGUUUUUAAUAUAUAAACUGAUGCUGUUUGGGGUAUAUAAUUUCACAAAAAUGGAAGGGGAGAACUCCUCCCACAAACUGAUGUUGUCUGGGGUGUUUUUUCACAAGGAUGGAGGGGGAGAACUUCUCCCAUAUUAUGAGGGAAGAUGGAGCCUCAGCAUUGAGGUGGGCUGACAACUUUGGUGUUGUGCUCAAAGCUCACAGCUGGAUUUACAUUGUGUCACCUGCACUACACCUCACAGCUCCUCCAUCUCUCUAGCUGGGGGCUGGAACUUCAGCCUUUAAGAUGCUGCUCCUUUAAGAGGAGGGAAGAUCUUUCCAUCUUCUGCAAUUUGUCUGACGUCCAGUUUCAUGUCGAUCCUGAGCCUCUGGAUUUUCUGCAACAGCUCAGGCGUGUGCUGACUCUGAGGGGCUGUAGUCUGGCAAGGACAACUUUAUUUCAAUGAAACAAAACCUUAUUUUGCUCUGUGCAAGUGGAAUCCUUCCAGUAGUCUGUGGGUUAGUUAUAAAAGCAGCUUUUCUAAAAUAGUGCUUGCUCAGGCUUGUUCUGCCCACCCGCGUCAGUAAAAAACUCACUCCUCCUUGAGUUGCCAUGCUUUAAUUUUCCCUUCAAAGAAAUGCACCCCACCCACAAUUUUGUAUGUUCAAUAAUCAUAUUCAUUUUUCUUCAGCCAUAACAUACCUUUGGAGCUGCGACUGGAAUACAAAUAGGGCCGCUGAAGCUGCAAACUCCAUUUGGACACGUAGCUUCAGAUCUCGAGACUUGAUCAAGCCCUUCCUUUCUCCUCAAAUUCUUAUCUCUUUAAUCAGAAGAAAUGAAUAUGUUUAAAUGGAGAUCUGGUGCCAUCCCAAAGGGCUGGCUACACAGUAUGUCAGUCUUGCAUCUCAGUUCCUGAUUCCAGAGAGUCGAGAUCAAUCACUCAAACAUCUACAGUACAUGAUAAACAAUUAGACCAUUUGGCCCAUCAUCUCAUGCCAACUCAAGAGGAACUACAGAGAUUAAUCACACUCCCAGCUCCUGCUCCUUAAUAGUCUUUUAGGCUACAGAACUUUAAUUGUUCAUCUAGGUUUUUUUUAAAAAAUGUGACAAAAAAUCUGCCUCCAUUCUCCCUGAUUCAGGACUUCCAUAUUUGCUUUCUCUUCUCUCCAGUUCUUCUGCCAUGACCAUGAACCCCUGUUCCCAGGUCUUGGCCUUUCGGCUAUGGAAUUUAACAUCUAAUUGCAGAUGAUGGAAUAAUCUCAUUUUGGCAACUUAUAUUCCAAAAGAAACAAAUCCAUCUCAUCUGUAUCCACUCAGGUCAAGUUAUUUGCAUUCUAACUGAUGUUCCUGUAGAUCUUCUGUGCAGAGUCUUGAAUGUCAACAUAUACUUCCAAUAAUGUGGUUAUUAGAUCUGUGUUCUGGCUCUGGUACAAAUACCAUUUUAAACUGGUUCACAAUAAUUUUCCAGCUCAUAUGUUCUGUCUCUCAGUAAAUCAAGGCAAGUACCCCAAAUGCCUUCUUAAUCUCUUUAUCUACCUGUCUUGACGCCUUUAUCUAUCUGUACUUCUCAGUAUUGGGCUUUCCUUCACUUUGCAAGCCUUCCCAAAUGCAUUACUUCACUCUUCUCUGGAACAAACUCCUUCUUCAAAGUUUGUAUUCACAUAACCAAUGUGUUACUAACUUUCUGCCACCUGCAACUUUCUUCCUCUCUAUUAUCCACACUCCUACUUUGGUUCACCUUAAAAGUCUUUACACAUGAUUCUACACUAUUGGGUACAUGACGCAGGCUACAGGGUUUCUUUGCUUUCUAGUUGCCUGCAAGGAGAUGAAUCUCAAGGUUGAAUAUAGUAUAUAAACAAACAAAACUUUGAACUAACAAUUCCUCAUUGAUCCAGGAUCCAUACACUGACAAUCCAGAUAUGAAAACAAGAGUCAUGAUUAAUAAGUUGACAGGUGAAAUAACAAUCACUGGUGUUGUCCACAGUGUAGUGCUCAGCUUGGUGAGUUGGUAAGAAAAAUGGCAGAUGGAAUGUAAUGUUGAAAAAUAUAAGAUGUUACAUUUUGGUGGGACUAACAAUGAUACAGACAGAUUUAUCCAAUUGACACACACAAAAUGCUGGAGGAACUCAACAGGUCAGGCAGCAUCUAUAGAGGAAAGUUCUCCUACAUAGGUUGCCUGAUUUGUUGAGUUACUUCAGCAAUUUUGAUUAAGAUUUCCAGCAUCUGCAGUAUCUCUUGUCUAGGCUUUAUUUUUUUUUCACAGUGAGAUCUUUUAUGCCGACUUUUUUCCCUCUCCCCCUCUCUCUCCCCCCCCCCCCCCACUGUCUUAUAUUAUUUAUACUCUAUAUGCUGUUGAUACCCAUUCGUCUCUGCUGCUGCCACAGGUAACUUUUUCAUAGCAUCUGUACCACAUUGUAUUUGUGCACACGACAACAAGCUUGUCAAACCUCAACCAUCAAGCUCUUGAACCAAAACGUAUAACUCCACUUAGCCCAUCAUUGAAAUGUUCCCACUACCAAUGGACACACAUUCAAGGACUCUUCAUCUCAUAUUCUCAAUGCUUAUUGCUUAUGUAUAUUAUUAUUAUUAUUAUUCAUUUCUUCUGGUAUUUGCAGAGUUUGUUGUCUUCUGCAUUCUGGAUGAAUACCCUAGUUGGGCGGUCUUUCACUGAUUCUGUUAUGGUUAUUAUUCUAUAGAUUCAUUGAGUAUGCCUGGAAGAAAUGAAUCUCAG